rnacentral:lncRNA from 1 species
GACAACGGGAGCUUGGCGGAUAUCUUGUUCAUCUCAGCGUUCAAAAAAAUAAAAGUUGGGCCAGACAAGUUGCAUCCUUUCCAUACCCCCCUGAUCGGAUUUGGAGGAAAUACGACGCACCCCUUGGGAUGGAUCAACUUACCAAUAACCCUGGGAGCCGAACCACACCAGACCACCGUAUGGCAGGAUUUUAUUGUGGUAGAUUGCCCCUCGCCUUAUAACGCCAUUCUGGGGCGACCUACGCUGGGAGGAAUCAAGGCGAUCACUUCUACCUACCACCUGAAGAUGAAAUUUCCCACCUUGACUGGGGUAGGCGAAGUAAAGGGCGAUCAGAAAGUGGCUAGGCAAUGCUUUAUCUCAGCCAUGAAGGUUGGAACUUCCGUUCAGUCCGCCCAAUAGCAAUCACAGAAGGCGGGCGAUGACACGGGGGUAUUAUUGAGAGAUGAGAUAGAACAGCUUAUCUUAGAAGACCCCAGAGAAACCGAGAAUACCAAACCUCUCGAAGAAGUCGUCCCAAUCUCCAUUCACCCAAGCUACCCAGAUCGUCAAGUCAUGAUCGGAACAGAGCUCACCGAUGAAUUGCGUAUCGCCUUAAUAGAUUUCUUGAAAAAGAAUUCUGACGUGUUCGCCUGGUCACAAGGCGACGUCCCUGGUAUCGACCCAGAAGUCGCCAUGUAUAAGUUGUUCACUAAGCCUGAAUACUCCCCAGUCCGCCAGAAACGGAGAAAAUUCGCCCCUGAAUGCCUGAAAGUCAUUGAAGACGAAAUAAGCAAACUCAUCAAAGCUAAUGUUGUCCGAGAAGCCCACUAUCCGGAUUGGCUCGCCAAUGUAGUAGUCGCCCCAAAAAAGGGGGGAAGUGGAGAGUGUGCGUAGACUUCACCGACCUCAACAAGGCUUGCCCGAAAGACAGUUUUCCUUUGCCUAAAAUCGAUCUGAUAGUCGACGCCACCUCCAAGCAUGAGCUCUUGAGCUUUAUGGAUGCCUUCUCGGGUUAUCAUCAAAUCAAAAUGUAUCCUCCUGACAUUGAGAAAACUUCCUUUAUCACGGAACGGGGGCUAUAUUGCUACAAAGUUAUGCCGUUUGGAUUAAAGAACGCCGGGGCAACGUAUCAGAGACUGGUCAACAAGAUGUUUAAUGCACAAAUUGGAAAGACUAUGGAAGUUUACAUAGAUGAUAUGCUGGUUAAAAGUCUUCAUGCACAAAACCACAUCGCCCACCUAGAAGAAGCAUUCGACAUACUGCGGCGGCACAGAAUGAUGUUGAAUCCCUCUAAAUGCAUUUUUGGAGUGUCGUCUGGAAAAUUUCUGGGAUUCCUGGUCACCAAGCGAGGAAUUGAGGUGAACCCGGAUCAAAUACAAGCCCUAAUCGCAAUGAGAUCGCCAAGGAAUAUCCGAGAAGUACAACAACUGACUGGGCGAGUAGCCGCCCUGAACAGAUUCGUCUCCAAAUCUGCGGACAAGUGCCUCCCGUUCUUCAAAAUCCUGAGAAAGAGCCAGACCUUUCAAUGGAGUGAGGAAUCUGAAAAUGCAUUCCGACAGCUGAAAGAGUAUCUCGGGUCCCCGCCUUUACUCUCGGUCCCCACCGCCGACGAAGAUCUCUACGUGUAUUUAUCUGUCUCGCCCACCGCGAUAAGUGCAGUACUAGUCCGAGAAGAAGAUAAAAUCCAAAAACCAAUAUACUACGUUAGCAAAACUUUAAUUGGUGCCGAGGCCAGAUAUCCGAGGAUUGAAAAGAUCGCCUAUGCUCUGAUGAUCGCCGCCAGAAAACUUCGUCAUUACUUCCAGGCCCAUUCCAUCAUAGUGUUGACAGAUCAACCACUAAAGCAGAUUCUCCAACGACCGGACACAUCGGGUAGACUCCUGAAAUGGUCCAUCGAGCUAAGUGAGUUCCACAUUGAGUACAAGCCAAGGACAGCAAUAAAAGUCCAGGCCCUGGCUGAUUUUAUUGUCGAAUCCACCCAUGAAAACACCCCACAACCAGAGACGACUCUUCUUGAAGCGGGAAUUCCUAAAGAACCAAACUCAGAAAAAGACCUCGCCCACUGGAUAUUGUACGUUGAUGGCUCUUCUAACCAACACGGUUGCGGUGCAGGGCUCGUCAUACGAGCUCCAUCAGGCGAACAGAUGGGUUUAAAGCCACCAACAAUGAGGCCAAAUACAAAGCCCUCCUCGCAGGCCUAAGAGUAGCAACAGAGUUGGGAGCACAAUCGUUGGAAGUCUUCAGUAACUCACAACUAGUGGUAAACCAAGUCCAAGGGGACUACCUCGCCAAGGACGCAAGAAUGAUAGCUUAUUUGGGCGAGGUAAAGGCUGUGUCCGCAAAGAUCAAGGAAUUUAAGAUUCACCAGAUCCCCCGAGAAGAUAAUAAAAAGGCAGAUGCCUUGGCUAAUCUGGCGUCAACUUUUGAGUUUAUUUCUGACAGGUGCAUACCUCUGGAAUUUUUAACCAGCCCAAGCAUUGGAAUCGCCAACCAAAUCCUCCAAACGGAAGAAAAUCUGACGUGGCUGGACGAAAUUAUUGCCUAUCUCCAGAAAGGGAUCUUGCCAAGGGAUAAGCUCCAAGCUCGCCGCCUCCAAUACAGAUCCGCAAGAUUUUGCAUUUUCAAGGGCAGGCUAUACAAGAGGUCUUUUUCAGGACCACUUUUGAGAUGUCUCCGACCAGAAGAGGCAGAGUACGUUCUACGAGAAAUACACGAAGGCAUAUGCGGAAAUCACAUCGGAGCAAGAUCUUUGGCGAAGAAAACUAUUCGCCAAGGAUAUUUUUUGCCGACCAUAGAACGAGAUGCGGCAGCGUAUAUAAAGAAAUGCGACAAAUGCCAGAGGUUUGCCCCCGUCAGCCGUCUCCCUCACACCGAGAUGGUACCAAUGUCCAGCCCUUGGCCAUUCGCCCAGUGGGGGAUAGACAUUCUGGGUCCCCUACCGCAAGCUCCUUUGCAAAGGAAGUUUCUAGUCGUCGCCAUAGAUUAUUUUACUAAAUGGAUAGAAGCUCAGCCUCUCGCCAAGAUUACUGAGAAAAAUACCCGGGACUUCGUAUGGAAGCACCUUGUUUGCAGAUUCGGAGUCCCAAAGGUUAUCAUCUCGGACAACGCAAGGCAGUUCGACAACGACAGGUUCAGAUUAUUCUGCUCGGAUCUCGCCAUCUCUCAUCAUUUCUCCUCGCCCGGUCAUCCUCAAGCUAAUGGACAAGUUGAAGUAACCAACCGUACCAUCCUCAGGAAUUUGAAGACAAGGUUAGAACGAUCAAAAAACGAGUGGGCGGAAAACUUGCCAAGCAUACUUUGGGCUUAUCAUACUACUAGCCGGAUUCCUACGGGUGAAACUCCGUAUUCCAUGGUCUUCGGAACCGAAUCAGUCAUACCGGUGGAAAUAGGUAUGCCGAGCUUCAGGGUUUCGAAUUUCGACAAAGAAAUCAAUGAGGCCGAGCUCAGAGUCAACCUGGACCUCCUUGAGGAAAAAAGAGAGAACGCCGAGCUACGUCAAAUGGCCUACAAGUGCCAAGUCGCCAAGUACUACAAUCAAAGAGUCAGACACCGUUCAUUCCUUCCGGGCGACCUGGUCUUGCGGAAAGUAACCCUGUCAACUAAAGAACCAAAUGCAGGAAAACUCGGCCCAACAUGGGAAGGUCCUUACAAAGUCGUCAAAGUCUCCCGACCGGGGACUUACUGGUUAGAAGACCUAAGCGGAAAGGCACUUUCACAUCCCUGGAAUGCCGAGCAUUUGAAAAAGUACUAUCAAUGAGUCAUGAGAACCCAUUCGCGCCCUCAAUAAGUUUAUUAUUCGGAAUUUGUUACGAUUCGCCUAUGUUAGAUCGUCGUUUAUACGAAGGAUUGUUAUCGCCAUUGUUUAUGUCGCCUGUAUUAUGAUCGCCCAUAUCUAUGUCGCCAUUAUUAUGAUCACCUAUAUCGAUGACCGCCAAUAUUGAGAUCGCCAGUUAAAGAAAAAUGAUAUCGCCAGUCCAAAACAAAAUAAGAUCGCCCGUUAUCGAAAUCGCCAAUAUUAUUUCAGUUAUUGAGAUUUCGCCAUUACUUAUGGUCGCCAUUAACACUCAAACAAAAGACACGGAACAAAGAUAUUUUUCAAAUGGAGUAUAUUUUUCAUUCAUAUGGACAAAUAUUACAUCUUAAAAAAAAAAUUAUACAUUAGGAGCAACUCCUGCAACAGGAUCUUCUCCUUCUUUCAUCGCCUCCUCUUCCUCGGCGAAACUUGGAUCCAUCGCCAUAUUCGCCACGUCGACGCCGAGGUUGGGGAAUUGAUGGAGGAGCUGCCUCUUGCAGAACUCAAAGCCCUCGCUGAAGUAUGUUGCAGCAGAAUCUAUAACCGCUGCCUUGAAUUCUCCCGAGGCUUUGAAGUCCUCAAUGGCUAGCUCCUUGGCCUUCGCCAGUUUAUUUGUGAGUUCCGCCACGGUGGCCUUCAGAUCGUCCACCUCGGUGCCGGGCUUUGAUCCUUCCUCGCUAAGCUCGGCCAGCCGAUUCUCCGCCUUAAGGGCUCGCUUUUGAGCUUUAACCAAUUCCAGCUCGGCGGAAUCCGCGCGAGCCAUAUGGAAGUCUAUAUCGUGGAGAUGCUCUUGGCUGCGGAGGGCAAGAGAAGAGGCGAACACGACCACCUGCCAAUAUAACAUCUCAGUAUCUGCCAAAAGAAACAACACCAAGAUUUUCACAAAUUACCUGACCCAAGGCGUGGAAAGAUUUGGCGACCAAUUCAUUCUCGGACAAUCGGUCAACCUCCUCCUUGUCGGAAGCCGGAAUCACCCCUGUGAGCAACCUCCGAGCCACAGAAGCAUCCGACAUAGACUCGGAUCCUACAUCGCCACCAGGGGAAGAGGUCCCCGCCUCAGCAGCACGCCCCCUGGCAUUGAUCGCCCCUCGGUUGGACUUGAAUCUUUUAGGCGGCGGGGGCGGCGCGGUGUCCUUUCCCUUCAAAGAGUCCGGCUCGCCUAUUUCGAUUACGGGGACGCCUUCCCGCGUACGUUUCUCCUGAAUAACAACUCCUUUGGUGGGAGGCUUGGCUGUCGUCGCCUUCGUAGCCUUCUCAGCCUUGGCCUUACCCCCUGUUUUUUCACCCAAGGCGGGGGCACCAGCUCGAGCCGACAUAGCUGCACAUGGGAUAUGUCAGAUAAGGAAGAAAAUAGUAAAUAAUUAGUUUCUAGAGUAUACCAUCAGAUCUGAGCUCGGGGGGCAGCUCGGAAUCCGAAAUGGAAUCCGACCCUGAAUCCGAACUGGAGCCGGACGUCCCAGAUAGAAGAUUCGUAAACGGGUCAUUUACCUUCCCCCCGAGCCACCUUAGAAGGGUAUCGUCGGGGAUACCGGGAUGGGCUCUCCUAAUCACCUCUCCGAUACCCCGUCUAAUGACUCCCAGGUAUUCAACCGAAUCUUCGCGAGUAACGAACUCACCCUCAUCACCCGAGGUCGUGUUGUCUCCGCCGCUGGUAGAAAGCGCCGCGCAACCAACCGCAAAAUGUUUCUUGAAUGUCCGCGAACCCAGGACCUUCGAAACCUCGAAGUAGCCUCCGGGCUCUAUCUUCCCGAAGAUCGCCUCCAUCCUCUUGGCAUCAACCUCGGACAGAGUCGGCAGCUUGUUGCAGCUCUUCCCUGAAAAUAGCGUGUCAGGCGACCAUAAUGACUUGAAAAAAAAAAAAAAACGAAAUAGGAACUAACCUGGCGUUCCCCAAGAUCUGGGAACUCGUGGAGUAGUAUCGCUAGCGGCCGUGCCCGAAGGGAACUCCCACUCGUCUCCCGAGGCAAAAAAGAACCUCGUCUUCCACCCCUUCACGUUGCUCGGAGAUCCUCGGAGCAAGUUCUUCUCAGGCCUCGCCUUGAAGUAGUACCACCCCGAAUCGGGUAGGGGACUGAGGGAGUACAAGCACCUGAAUUCGUCACAGGACAUGUGACGUUUGAAGUGGCGCCAGAUCACCAGCGAACAGAUGACUGAUCGCCAUGCAUUGGGGGAUAACUGAGUAGGGCAAAUCUUGUAAUGAAUCAAAAUUUACCUGAUGGUCGGGUGAAUGGGAAGCCUUAAGCCGGCCAGAAAAGCGGCUUCGUAAAACGCCACCUCGCCUUGGCGGGCUGAUAAAAUUGUCUUGCCAUCCCCAGGAAUCCGAAGUCGUACCCCUGAGGGAAAUGAAUAGGUAGAUCCGAGCUUGUCCAGUUCAGCCUGGGACAUGACGUUACCCUCCUUAGUAAGACUCGAGGUAUCCAUCUUUGGGGAAUUUUGUGGUAUCGGUGGAAAUGAGAGAGACUGGCUCGUCUCGUCGAUAUAAGACUUCGCCCCUAGAUGAUCGGAUAUCCAAGAAGGCAGGGAUUGCUCAGAUUCUUCACCUCCGAGGUUGGUCUUGGAGAACAUAAACGGGACAGUCGACCUGUUUACGGCGAGGUGCAGUUCGGACACGGAGCAGCACUUCGACAGCAAUGGAAAUGUGCGAAUGAAUAGGCUAACCCCAUUUAUAUACAUACAUGGGAGGGCUGUGAUCGAUCGGGCCCAACGGCCCAGAUCACGCGACGUUCCGAUUUCCGAGAAGUAAAAACCGCCGUUCCCGCCAUUAAACCAUUUUCCCGCCGACUCAACCCAUUCUGCAUUUAAUUUCCCGUCCACGUGGCUCUUGGAGCGAGUCCGUUGUGAUUGACGCUCCAUCUGGCCAGACCAUCAUUGCACAAACACGUCAGCAUUGGUCAUGCGAACAGGCUGUGAUUUUGUGUGAUUAGAAACCAUCUAUGAUUGGAUGCCUACGUCGCCUAUCGCGCAUUAAAUUGUACAUAUCUUACCCGGUAAACCCGAAUUACCCUUAUUGCUCUAAAGCUACUUGCUCGCCCAAAAGUUUUGCCUAUUUUUGAACUACAAGUCAAACCAUGUCGCCCGAAUCUUUGUAUCGCCUAAGGGGUAAGAGGUCUAGAUCGCCAGAUCGUCACAAAGCGACUUGAGGAAUCUUGAUCACUAUUACAGACGUCACCAUUAAUGAGAGCGCCCAUUCAUUACGACCAGGAAUCUUCAUCGCUAGUCGACUAUCUCGCCGUAUAUAUCUCGUCGCCCAGGACUUAUAUCGGUUAAGGUGUGGAAAGUUUAGACCGCCCGUUUUCACCAUGAAUAUUGCAAAUAAGAUGAACGCAUACAUGCCGAAGUAAUUAAGUCCGAAAGGAAAAACGACAAGAGUUGGAAAGCGAAUCAGCUUUUAUUUAUCCAUUGAAGAUCACGGAUACAAUAAAAUACAAAAAAAAUAUACAUACAAAAGAAAUACAAAAGGGGGAAUCCUAAACAGCUUCGCCAACCCCCUCUACCCCGGCUGCCCCUUCUUCGGCCGCUCUUUUCUCGGCUUCGGCCUCCUCUUUGGCGAGGAAUUCAUGGUCCAUCUCGACGUCCUCCAGGUCGACGCCGAGGUCAGGAUACUGAUGCGCAAGCUGCCUCUUGCAGAAGUCAAAGCCAUCACCGAAAUAAGAGGAUGCCGAUCCCCUCACAGCUUCUAAAAAGUCAUCCGAUUCUUUGAAUGCGGCGAUGAUCCUGCCUUGCGUGCG